AAGCUCAGCCGCUUCUAAGCUAUGCUUCGUUCUUUGUCUCUAAGCUGAUGUUGUUUAUGGUCCUUCGCAGAAACCUGAACCUUCUGAUCAUUCUUCAUUGAACUUUGACUUCGGUUCCAGAAGUUUCUGGACGAUCAAGAUUACUUAUGUUAGGAGGAUUUUGUUUGGAUUUCGUUUCCAAGUACCAAGCUGGCAGCUUCCUGUUAUCCUCCGUCUCCUGAACCAAGGCAGAAGCGUACCCUGUCCACCCUCCAACGCAAGUACCUGAAAAUUGAAUUAACUCCUGAACUCACCAGAACUCAGUAAAACCAUCUGGAUUUCUCCGCUUUGCACACCUGGAUCCCGACUCCCUCUACCCCUGGCGACCUGACUACACUCACUUAUUGGCGAUUCUACCGUUCAUGUUCCAGUUUCACUUCUUUUGCAGAAAGUGAACCAGUAGAUUCAGUGUUGGGGCUUCUACCGCAUGGGUUGAAUGGCUCAGCCAAAUAUCAGAGCUAAUACGGACAGAUGUGGUUUAAUGGAGACAGCUCUGCAGGAGGAGAGGCAACAGUUCCAGGUUUGGAUGCAGUUUCCCAAAAGCUCCCAGUGAUCCUCUUCACCCUUGUGUCCUGCCAUCCUCUACUCCACUGUCUAUGCAUCUUAUACUUCUUAUAAAUAUUUGCUUACGAUUAGAUAGUCAAUGUAUCAAUUCCCUGUACUUCUGGACUGAUUGUUUUUUUUAUUCUAAUAAAUAACAUUUAUACUAGAAACAUUGUUCUGUUUGGGCUAUAGAUAUUUGACAUGAGUUUGCCUGAUGAUAAAAAGAAAAAUAAGUGUGUUAAUCAGUGUUUAGUAGUUAUGUAAAUUAAUUGUGCUGUUUUACCCAGAUGCAGGUUGGUAAAGAGUUUUAUGUAAAAUAAUUAUUUAACCCUUUCCUGCUUAUGGGUUUAGUGCAGCAUAAGGAAUAGUGGAAGGAAUUAUUCAACUGUUUAACUCCAAAGCUGCUCAUCAUCUACUAUUAUUAUCAGUUGAAACAAAAACAAAUUUAUUAGCUAAGAAUCUUUCAAAAGGAGUAGAGGAAGAAUUCCUUCUGUUGGACUGAAGGUGUAGAGCAGUUUUCACAACUUUCCCAGCCUGAUUUAAAUAAUUGGUCGGUGGCCUUUCUGAGCAAUGGAAACAGAAUGUACACAAUACCCUGGGAUUCCUUUUACCUGGUGUAAAACAAAUUUAAAUACUGGGCCUUCUGAGAAUACUGUUUUAUGCCUGUUUUAAACAUAAUAGAUGAGACAAAAAUAAUGAAAAUAUGCACAAAAACACAUUUUCUAUAUUAUUUUUUUCUGUUGGCAGAAAAAAUCUGAAAAUAUUUAAGAGUGUAAUUAAACCGAUUUUUAUUUGUUCGUUGUUUCUCAUGGUAAUGCAUUAAGGUUUACUAAGGUUGUUAACAUAAAAAAGCAGCCUUAUGAGUCUAUUUGUAAGGCAAUAUUCAUGCACUAGAUACACUAAAAAAUCUAAACUCAGACUGUUCAAUUGUUCAUACAUUCAAACACACCCAACAUGCACAUGUUUACAGUUUUUGUUAUAGGUGACAUUGAUAUUUGAAAUGUUAGUUGUGUGUUUUUAUUUUUAAAACAUAUUUAGUCUUCUUUUCCUAAUCUGUACAGAAGAAAAUAUGUGAUUUCUAUUAAAAAAAGAAACAUUUAAAAGUCUUAUGAAAAAUAACUGUCAGAAAGUUGGAAUGCUUGAAACCCAAUUUGUUUGAUUAAUGUUUUUCAAAUAUUGUCUCAACUUCUAAAUAAAAUGUAUCGUUAGGUUUUGCAGAGAUGUUAUUACAAUAACCAAAAGAUGCAAAUUAUUUUCCAUGCUAUUUGCUUUUUUACAAAGAAUGUGUAAAACAUAUUAAGCAUCAUAUUUACUGAAUACAAGAGUUUUUUGUGGAAAUCUUGUGGGUAUUAUGGGAUUGAUAAAUAAUGAAGCUUCAAGGUAAAACUUUCCUAUCUGAUAAACUGUUAUUAUAUAUAAGGUUUGCACAAUUUUCAGAUUAAUAUCCCUUUUUUAAUUGAAGCAUUUAUGUCUAUAAUUCUGUUUAUAUGUCACACAAAACAAUAAAAUUACCAAA